CUGUUUCGACCAAGACGGAGGAGGUCUCGUGGAGGCUGUGUCCACCCGAGAGCCGCACACCUGGAGAUCAGAUGGGAGAAUGACUGUCAAGCAGACCUGUGAUUUUAGCUUUGAAAGGGCUGCCCACGAUGUGCUGCGGCCCGCCGUAUUUGAUGGUGAUGAGAUAGUUGCCAGGUGCCAUGGGAGUGUAGGUGAUUUUGUAGCCUUCAGGACACUCCCGACAGUCCAUCUUAACCUUGGAAGGUCCGUCGAUGUUGACAGAUAGAGGGCCUGAGCCGGCAUUACAGGUUUUGACCACAAACUCUGAAGCGACACCUGGAGGGAAGAUAGAGGAAGAUGUCCAGGACCAUGUGCAGUCACCAUGCCUGGGUCUCCAAUCAGUCCCGGGUCUCCCACUCUCACAUUGAAGGGGCUUCCAGGAAUGUGGCAUCCAUUGAACUUGACAUCUAUUGAGUGAACUCCAUUCUCCCGUGGAAUGAAACGGAUUGCACUCUUGUCUGGAAACAACACAAGAGGGGAGGAGAGGUUACAGCAAGAUUCAGACAGAUACAAAGCUGCACUCUCUAACUUUUGGGAUUUUGUGCUGUGAUUAUUGCAGUCCAUGCGUACCACUGUCGAGCUCAGUGACGUAGCACUCCUCAGAAGAGCCAGAGGGCGUGUGGACUUUGGCGUCAACCACACCUCGAGCCCCAUUUCGCUGCACCAUGAAGGAAGCUUCUUGGUUUAUCUUCAAGUCCUUCUCCUGCUUGAGACGGGGAAGAAUAUCAUCAGAAUAUCUGAGAUAACAUACUGGGUGCACCAGCCACGCCCCUCUCCAGGCCGGGUCCUCCAGCACGGACUUUAUGUGCUCCUCCCUCCCCCAUGGGCCCUACAGUAAACUGGAAGGGGCUUCCAGGGACGUGCUGGCCUCUGUAUUUGACGUUGACAGUGUGGGGUCCCAUUUCCUGUGGGAUGAAGCGGACGCUGUACGUGUUGCUCCCUCCAUCCACAAUGUCGGCAUCCACUGUUUUCCCACUGGGGCUCGUCACCUGACCUGUCAUGGCCUGCGAGCCACUCUCCACUACAAAGGCAGCACGGCACAGCAGGAACUCCAGCGCCACAGAGACAUUUUCCAGUUUCAUCUGACGGAAGUUUGGCCUGAUGUGGUGCUUUCUGUACAUUUUCUUCUGGCUCAAAACCUCCAGGAGUGAAAUGAGCUUGAGCCCAUCACUAAAAUCCCUCUGCAGGAACUGUGGUGGUGGUGUUGUGACUCAGCAGUCAGUGACAAGGCAGUGACACCAGAUGCCAGCACCAGCCUUGAUGAAGCAGUGGGAGGUAAGAAUCACUGUGACACAUGCAGAAAGAAUUCUCAGGAUAUUCUCUCUGGACUCCAGCAACCGCAAUGUUAAUCCCCCCCCACUAUGUAGUGAGUUUGUUCUGUUUAAACCAUUCUGAGCCUUUUGGUCAAUUAGCUUUAUUGUGAAUUAUAGAUAAACUGCAGAGCCACUGAUGUGUGAGGUUAAAUGAAUCUGACACUUGUGUGAAGUCAACAACUCCCAGAGUUGGAUCGGCGACAAGAGUGACUACUACAAUUAUUAUUAGUAGUAGUAUAGUAAUAUAGUAUAUUGUCAUCACGUCUAAAUGAAUAGAUAGGCCGAAAAUAGAUGGUUACGUGACUUCAUCUCAUUUCUACGUUAAGUAUAAGUGUGUACGUGAGUAACCGACUUAAAAACCAAGUCACAGAACUGUAUCUUUUGACCUGGACACUAUUCACCUGACUUGGUGUCUCCAGAGGAUCCAUGGCUUCUCUCACAGUCCUUUUUAAUUAGCAUUUUCUUGUUAGCCUGUCAGCUGCAUAUAUUAAAUAUUUAAGACUGGAUUUGGGGUGAAUUUGUUGGCCAGAUAAGCCCAAGGCCAAGGGACAGCUGAUUAGAUUUAGCUGGUGAUGUAGAUCUGACAUUUCCUCUGACAUUGCCAUAACUCUGAUACUGAAUGAGAUUUAAAGAAAAAAAUAAAACCUGGGUCAGAAACAAGUGAGAACAUUUGCAGGCUCAGGAAACUAAUUUGACUUCAACCUCAGGUGAAGAUGUUCAGUGAGGGUUUCUCCUAACUUUAUCUAAUGACUUCGACCUCAUGAAGCUGGCGUUUGGACUAUUUUUAGAUAAUUAGCUGCACUUAGUAAAUCAUGAGUCCUGGCAGCGCGGUCAUAGCUGUAGUAUAGACACCUCAUCAGUAACAUUCACUCACCAGUUCCGGCUAUCUGUAAAACUUCCAUGUCUGUGAGCUUAUGUCAUGUCUCAGGGGUGAAGGUUAUUAAUAACCACACAACCCAUGUAACGUGACGCCAGCAUCGAGAUAUAGUUCUCACUCACUUUGACUGCUGACUGAUUUUGACUGAUUUUAAUGAAUGAGAUUGUGUGAGAUUCUAAACCAUUCGUUUUUUGAUAGGGGAAAAAAAAAAGGUCUCAAACAUCAUAUGAGAUGGACAUAUUUAUUUUUUCAAAUCAUUUACAGUACAAAAUAGACCUCCAGGUAACAAAAUAGCCACAAUUAUAUUUAAAACAUCACUGCUAUCAAUAUAUAAAGCAGCAAGCUGAGCAACACUGUGCAACAUAGACUCGUAGGAUUAAGUUAAAUAUUCAUGGCGUAAGCUCAAAGACGAUAA